rnacentral:rRNA from 1 species
GACGAACGCUGGCGGCGUGCUUAACACAUGCAAGUCGAACGGAAAGGCCCUGCUUUUGUGGGGUGCUCGAGCGGCGAACGGGUGAGUAACACGUGAGUAACCUGCCCUUGACUUUGGGAUAACUUCAGGAAACUGGGGCUAAUACCGGAUAGGAGCUCCCGCUGCAUGGUGGGGGUUGGAAAGUUUCGGCGGUUGGGGAUGGACUCGCGGCUUAUCAGCUUGUUGGUGGGGUAGUGGCUUACCAAGGCUUUGACGGGUAGCCGGCCUGAGAGGGUGACCGGCCACAUUGGGACUGAGAUACGGCCCAGACUCCUACGGGAGGCAGCAGUGGGGAAUAUUGCACAAUGGGCGGAAGCCUGAUGCAGCAACGCCGCGUGCGGGAUGACGGCCUUCGGGUUGUAAACCGCUUUCGCCUGUGACGAAGCGUGAGUGACGGUAAUGGGUAAGGAAGCACCGGCUAACUACGUG